rnacentral:rRNA from 1 species
CACGGGGGGAGCAAGCGUUGUUCGGAUUCAUUGGGCGUAAAGCGCGUGUAGGCGGUCCGGUAAGUCCGCUGUGAAAGUCGGGGGCUCAACCCUCGGAUGCCGGUGGAUACUGUCGGGCUUGAGUACGGAAGAGGCGAGUGGAAUUCCUGGUGUAGCGGUGAAAUGCGCAGAUAUCAGGAGGAACACCAAUUGCGAAGGCAGCUCGCUGGGACGUUACUGACGCUGAGACGCGAAAGCGUGGGGAGCAAACAGG